AAAUUAUUAGAGAUAUUUCUAUUCUUCCAUGCAUGGGAAAACUACAACCAAGGUGUAAACUUGGAAGGAGCAUGUUUGGAGAUUUUUCCAGGAUGGACAGAGGAAACCAUACUGAGAAGAAGAAGCAAAACACCCUGUUUCUUCACAGCAUUAUUAUUUGCCUUGUUAUGGUGAUAGGCCAUAAAAGCCAGUAACAAAUAAAUGAGAUGGACAUUUUAUGAUCACCAAGGAGAAGAUAACCGUGAGAAAUUCUGCUCUAAUCAAGUGUAUUCUGUGCUCACUGGGUGGGAGGGUCACGCUGUGUGAGACUAAUAAGGACAGAGCUGCAUCCCCCUCUACCACUCUUUGGAGACUCACUCCAGCAACUCCUCAGCACUACAGCAGCGUCGUGCAGGCAUUUACUGUGCUUCUGGGGGACAUAGUAGAGCAAAAAUUAAAGAUUUGUGGCUGAUUGU
rnacentral:lncRNA from 1 species